AUUCUUACACAUAUUUUUUAAAGAGUGGCACAAAGGCUGAUUAGCUAGAAGUGCCUUAGGGCCGAUGCAUCAAGUCUUUUCGGGAUGAGGAUGAUCAGUAUCUUCUUUCACUCCUCCAAAAUACCUUUAGAUUCAAAAACUAUCUAUACUGUCUUAACCACCCUCCAUCGAUAAUAGGCUGGUAUCUAUGAAAAGAAAGGAGGAAUCCAUCUGACCUGAGGUCCUG
rnacentral:lncRNA from 1 species